rnacentral:rRNA from 1 species
CCUACGGGGGGCUGCAGUGGGGAAUAUUGCACAAUGGGCGCAAGCCUGAUCCAGCCAUGCCGCGUGUGUGAAGAAGGCCUUCGGGUUGUAAAGCACUUUCAGCGGGGAGGAAGGCGUUAAGGUUAAUAACCUUGUCGAUUGACGUUACCCACAGAAGAAGCACCGGCUAACUCCGUGCCAGCAGCCGCGGUAAUACGGAGGGUGCAAGCGUUAAUCGGAAUUACUGGGCGUAAAGCGCACGCAGGCGGUCUGUCAAGUCGGAUGUGAAAUCCCCGGGCUCAACCUGGGAACUGCAUUCGAAACUGGCAGGCUAGAGUCUGGUAGAGGGGGGUAGAAUUCCAGGUGUAGCGGUGAAAUGCGUAGAUAUCUGGAGGAAUACCGGUGGCGAAGGCGGCCCCCUGGGCAAAGACUGACGCUCAGGUGCGAAAGCGUGGGGAGCAAACAGGAUUAGAUACCCGUGUAGUC